rnacentral:tRNA from 1 species
GGGUAUAUAGCUCAGUGGUAGAGUGUGUGCCUAGCAUGCAUGAGGUCCUGGGUUCAAUCGCCGGUACCUCCA